CCUGAUUGGAAACUGAAGAACAGAUUAAAACAACAGAACAGAUUAGAACACUUCGAAGACGAAGUUCCGAGCGGAGUUGCUGUCGUCAUCAGUUAGUAGCCUGUAUGCGAUGAAUCUAGAAAUUCGUAUAACGUAUACGAUUGCAGAUCAAUUUUCUUGCAACGUCGAGACAUUUUCAAUCCAUCGGGUAGUUUAGACAAAAAGUAACGAUCAUACACGAGCAAGUUUCAACUCGUUUUUUGUUUUAAUGUCGAUUUGAAAGAGCUUAAGGAUUCAGC